CAAGUGACCCCGGUUUUACCACCGGGAUGUUCAUAACCCUUUGUUGUCUGACUCUGUUGCCUCCGGGGCGACCCUGCCUUCGGGCGGGGGCUCCGGGUGGACACUUCAAACUCUUGCGUAACUUUGCAGUCUGAGUAAAUUAAUUAACAAAUUA
rnacentral:misc_RNA from 1 species